UCAAGUAAUUAAGUGCAUGUGGUGGAUGCCUUGGCAGUCAGAGGCGAUGAAAGACGUGAUAGCCUGCGAAAAGCUCCGGGGAGGCGGCAAAUAUCCUUUGAUCCGGAGAUGUCUGAAUGGGGGAACCCACCUACUUUAAGGUAGGUAUUGCAACAUGAAUACAUAGUGUUGCAAGGCGAACGAGGGGAAGUGAAACAUCUCAGUACCCUUAGGAAAAGAAAUCAAUUGAGAUUCCCUCAGUAGCGGCGAGCGAACGGGGAUCAGCCCAUUAAGUUAUGUGUGUUUUAGUGGAACGCUCUGGGAAGUGCGAACGUAGAGGGUGAUAUUCCCGUACACGAAAGGGCACACAUAAUGAUGACGAGUAGGGCGAGGCACGUGAAACCUUGUCUGAAUAUGGGGGGACCAUCCUCCAAGGCUAAAUACUCCUGACUGACCGAUAGUGAACCAGUACCGUGAGGGAAAGGCGAAAAGAACCCCUGUGAGGGGAGUGAAAUAGAUCCUGAAACCGCAUGCAUACAAGCAGUGGGAGCACCUUCGUGGUGUGACUGCGUACCUUUUGUAUAAUGGGUCAGCGACUUAUAUUCAGUAGCGAGGUUAACCGUAUAGGGGAGCCGUAGAGAAAUCGAGUCUUAAUAGGGCGUUUAGUUGCUGGGUAUAGACCCGAAACCAGGCGAUCUAUCCAUGAGCAGGUUGAAGGUUGGGUAACACUAACUGGAGGACCGAACCCACUGUCGUUGAAAAGCCAGGGGAUGACUUGUGGAUAGGGGUGAAAGGCUAAUCAAGCCUGGUGAUAGCUGGUUCUCCCCGAAAGCUAUUUAGGUAGCGCCUCGGACGAAUACCAUAGGGGGUAGAGCACUGUUUCGGCUAGGGGGUCAUCCCGACUUACCAAACCGAUGCAAACUCCGAAUACCUAUGAGUACUAUCCGGGAGACAGACUGCGGGUGCUAACGUCCGUAGUCAAGAGGAAAACAAUCCAGACCGCCAGCUAAGGCCCCAAAAUCAUAGUUAAGUGGGAAACGAUGUGGGAAGGCAUAGACAGCUAGGAGGUUGGCUUAGAAGCAGCCACCCUUUAAAGAAAGCGUAAUAGCUCACUAGUCGAGUCGGCCUGCGCGGAAGAUGUAACGGGGCUAAAACUAUGUGCCGAAGCUGCGGAUGUAUACUUUGUAUACGUGGUAGGGGAGCGUUCUGUAAGCCGAUGAAGGUGUGUUGAGAAGCAUGCUGGAGGUAUCAGAAGUGCGAAUGCUGACGUGAGUAACGACAAAACGGGUGAAAAACCCGUUCGCCGAAAGACCAAGGGUUCCAGUCCAACGUUAAUCGGGGCUGGGUGAGUCGACCCCUAAGGCGAGGCCGAAAGGCGUAGUCGAUGGGAAAAUGGUUAAUAUUCCAUUACUUCUGUGUAAUGCGAUGAGAGGACGGAGAAGGCUAAAUCAGCCUGGCGUUGGUUGUCCAGGUGAAAGGAUGUAGGCAUGUAUCUUAGGCAAAUCCGGGGUACUCUAUGCUGAGAUCUGAUAGCAAGCUGUACUUGUACAGCGAAGUGGUUGAUGCCAUGCUUCCAGGAAAAGUCUCUAAGCUUCAGUUACACAGGAAUCGUACCCGAAACCGACACAGGUGGUCAGGUCGAGUAGACCAAGGCGCUUGAGAGAACUCUGCUGAAGGAACUAGGCAAAAUGGUACCGUAACUUCGGGAGAAGGUACGCUGUUGUUGGUGAUGGAACUCGCUUCCUGAGCUGACGACAGCCGCAGAAACCAGGCCGCUGCAACUGUUUAUUAAAAACAUAGCACUCUGCAAACACGAAAGUGGACGUAUAGGGUGUGAUGCCUGCCCGGUGCUGGAAGGUUAAUUGAUGGGGUUAGCGUAAGCGAAGCUCUUGAUCGAAGCCCCAGUAAACGGCGGCCGUAACUAUAACGGUCCUAAGGUAGCGAAAUUCCUUGUCGGGUAAGUUCCGACCUGCACGAAUGGCAUAAUGAUGGCGGCGCUGUCUCCAGCAGAGGCUCAGUGAAAUCGAAAUCGCUGUGAAGAUGCAGUGUACCCGCGGCUAGACGGAAAGACCCCGUGAACCUUUACUGCAGCUUGACACUGAACUUUGACCUUACUUGUGUAGGAUAGGUGGGAGGCUUUGAAGCUGGAACGCUAGUUCCAGUGGAGCCGUCCUUGAAAUACCACCCUGGUAAUGUUGAGGUUCUAACUCUGUCCCGUGAUCCGGGACGAGGACCGUGUCUGGUGGGUAGUUUGACUGGGGCGGUCUCCUCCUAAAGAGUAACGGAGGAGUACGAAGGUGCGCUCAGCGUGGUCGGAAAUCACGCGUAGAGUAUAAAGGCAAAAGCGCGCUUAACUGCGAGACCCACAAGUCGAGCAGGUACGAAAGUAGGUCUUAGUGAUCCGGUGGUUCUGUAUGGAAGGGCCAUCGCUCAACGGAUAAAAGGUACUCUGGGGAUAACAGGCUGAUACCGCCCAAGAGUUCAUAUCGACGGCGGUGUUUGGCACCUCGAUGUCGGCUCAUCUCAUCCUGGGGCUGAAGCA
rnacentral:rRNA from 1 species